GACGAACGCCGGCGGCGUGCCUAAUACAUGCAAGUAGAACGCUGAAGGAGGAGCUUGCUUCUCUGGAUGAGUUGCGAACGGGUGAGUAACGCGUAGGUAACCUGCCUGGUAGCGGGGGAUAACUAUUGGAAACGAUAGCUAAUACCGCAUAAGAGUAGAUGUUGCAUGACAUUUGCUUAAAAGGUGCAAUUGCAUCACUACCAGAUGGACCUGCGUUGUAUUAGCUAGUUGGUGGGGUAACGGCUCACCAAGGCGACGAUACAUAGCCGACCUGAGAGGGUGAUCGGCCACACUGGGACUGAGACACGGCCCAGACUCCUACGGGAGGCAGCAGUAGGGAAUCUUCGGCAAUGGACGGAAGUCUGACCGAGCAACGCCGCGUGAGUGAAGAAGGUUUUCGGAUCGUAAAGCUCUGUUGUAAGAGAAGAACGAGUGUGAGAGUGGAAAGUUCACACUGUGACGGUAUCUUACCAGAAAGGGACGGCUAACUACGUGCCAGCAGCCGCGGUAAUACGUAGGUGGCAAGCGUUAUCCGGAUUUAUUGGGCGUAAAGAGAGUGCAGGCGGUUUUCUAAGUCUGAUGUGAAAGCCUUCGGCUUAACCGGGGAAGUGCAUCGGAAACUGGAUAACUUGAGUGCAGAAGAGGGUAGUGGAACUCCAUGUGUAGCGGUGGAAUGCGUAGAUAUAUGGAAGAACACCAGUGGCGAAGGCGGCUACCUGGUCUGCAACUGACGCUGAGACUCGAAAGCAUGGGUAGCGAACAGG
rnacentral:rRNA from 1 species